CCCACAACCGAUAAGGAUGGAAGACUGAAGUGACACACAGAGGUGUCUGGAAAUCUUUGCUUGACUCUGAACUUGCGUAUUGGCUGCAGACUGUUCUCUUGCUUUCCUCAUGGGCUCGAACCAACCCAUGAGCUCGGAAGCCCGCAGCGAUCUUCCCCAGCUCCUGAAGAUGACAACGCGGAGCACAGAGGCUUCAGAACUGCUUUGGGAAGAAAAUGGGAUAGAUCGCUUGGCCAACCUCCCUCACCAGAACACCCCACAGGGUACAGCACUGCAACGAAAAGCACGCCCAGCGGUCUGAAGCAUGGAAAAAGCCCUUACCCCUGGCAACCGAAGAAGAAACUUGGCGAAAAACACGUGCAUGCCCUCUGACUUGGAGGCUACAGAUACGAUGUGCUAACAGCGUAAGGGUGUUCUUGAGAACACAGGGGGCUUUUGCCCUCCUCUUGCGAAGGCCUCCAGCUCUGCCACGCGACACAUUCCUAAGCGUACAUCCUCCCCGUCUUCACUUUUGCACUGAAUACAAAUACGCACUUUCUUCAUGCGUGAGAAAGAGGGUUGUGUCAUUGCUGCUACCGCCAGACCAUCCACCAUCCACUCAAACCACAUUUUCUUUAUUAAAGCCAUUUUUCUCUGAAGUUUCCCCAUCGUACGCAGGCUGUGUUGAGACCUCCUCACCUCCCGAGAUAUUUAUAGGCUUUAGUGGAGAACUGUAUGGCCCUUUGAGGGCCAGGAUUUAAGUUUUAGCCUGCAUCGAGCAUAAAUACACUGGGGGUGAACGAAUAUUUCUUACUUAAAAGCCUUAUUUAAUUUGAUCCAAAGCACCUUAUUUUUCAGAGUUAAACAUUACUGUUGGAAGUAAUUUUAAAUCUGCACAACAGUGAAUCCUAAGAAUGGUUCUGAAUUGGCUUUACAAAUGCAUAUGGUUCUUUCUGAGAUUGAAAGAGGAGGAAGAAGAAAGGGAGGAAGAAAGGGAGACCGCAGGAACUGAAAUAAAAACAGACAAUCCCUUCGUCACCUAAAUAAAACCCGCUAAGCGUUGAAAUGGGGUCGAAAGAUAUUUGUUAAGACUGUGAAGUAUAAAGGCAGCAAUUAUUUCUUUGGAAAGUGUCUCUUUAAGGACUUAAGUGAAAGCCUGGAGGAGGCUGCCUCCAGCCAGCAGGAAUUGCCCCUGGCUUUACCAGGAGUGAGAGGAAGAAAGGAAGCAAUUACCCAGUGAACAAUGGUGCAUUAAGGAGCUGCACUGUGUUUUCAAAACCAGGAUCUCUCCAGCUGGGUGAGCGGAGGGGAUGGCCUCCUGGGGAGGCAGUCAGUGGGGCCGGGACAGCCAGGCAGGUGCAGGAGAUGGAGGGAGGGAAGCGCCGUGGGACCUCUGAGGAUUGCCUCUUCCCUUCAGGACCACGGGACUGAAAGAAGUCCUCCCGUGGAUCCAGUUUUGGCAAGCCCUUUGUCAUCCCUCUUCCCCUUUGAUGCCUCGCCACACCUGCCGGCUGCCCCAGCUGCUCUCCAUAGCCAAAAACCGUCCAGGAGCUUCUUGACAAGAGCUCCUUGUACCCUGAUCCCUCCUCAGUUUCCCCUACAAUGAAUAGAGACACCUACAGCCGAUCGGGUGCUCAGAGCCCCGUCCAGCCUGACCUGGAGUGUCUGCGGGAUGGGGCACCCACCACCUCUCUGUGCAACCUGUGCCAGUGCCUCACUGCCCUUAUUGCAAUAAACCUCCUCCUUAUAUCCGAUCUAAAUCUCCUCUUUUAGUUUGAAACCACUUCCCCUUGUCCUGUCACAACAGACCUGCUAAAGGCUCUGUUGGUAUUGUAGGUACUGUGCAUGGCUGCCUUGGGAAACCAGCCUCAACCCUCAUCAUGCUUCAGCAGCAGGACAAGCUGGGGGCAAUGCUGUCACCUCACACAGAUUCAGCUCCCAGGUCAGCUGGAAGCACUCAGGACCAGAGGCCCCUCCAGCCCCACAGCUGCUCCAGACCCAUAGGGAGGUACAGCCCCACUCAUGUGGAUCCAUGCAAGAGCAUGAGCUCACACUCAUCAUAACUUGAGCCAGCUUUGGGGCUUAUUGGUGGUGAGGACCUGAAGACAUUGAGGGUAUGUGUGGGUCUGGAGCAGUACUGAGAUGAGCCCUUCUACAGGUAUACCCACUUUAGCUCCCUUCUCUUAGAGCAGCAAGGAGGUGAUGGCCAGCAGGUGGGUGUAAUUAAAGACACGAGCUUCAGCUGUUGUGCUGACGGCCUCACUCAGAGAUUACAUCUACCCCACCAGCCCUGUUGGAAGCCUUUUGCUAAGUCUGGUGGGUGUUGGAAAAGCCACUUUGUCUUCACCAAGCACAUGUCUCAAGAUAAUGCCUGAACCUUCCGGGGACAACAGUAGACUUUGGGAUCAGGACACACCUUUUCCUUCAGCAGCAUUGUGGCUGCCUACCAGCUGAAACGGUAUGUCUGCAUCUGGAUGAGAUGGAGAGCAAUUUACAAAUUUCAUCCAUGUGAUGGAUGUGGAGGAGAAGCCAUAGAAGAUGACACCCAACCAGGAACAAGCUGCAGUUUUGUUGUGAAUAUCCAGGAAGUCUCUGUGGUGCAGAUGUGACAGCAACAGCAAAACGUAUUUCAACGUCCCAUCCCGUGAAGAGCUGUGAGUAUCAGCAACCACACAAAAGAGCUGGCGGGGGGGUGGGGAGGGCAGGGUCUUGAAAAUGACAAACAUCAGCUGUCUGUCCUGGUGGAACAUGGUAACUAUUUGUGGAUCCCACUGCCUAAACCCCAUCAAAGUAAGAGCGUAGCACUGCUAUCUAUUGUUAUUCUGUGUGUUGUUUUUUUUUUUUUCCCUAAAUGUUUCCAGCAUGUUGACUUAUAGUACCAAAACUCUGCAAUUCUUAGAAAGUGUUGGUUUGGUUUGUUAAGCAGAGUCAUGAAUGCAAAUAUUCCUGACUUCUGAGACAGAAGGAUGUGUAUGAGUGGAUGAAGCACAAUAGGAUUAUUAUACUCCUCCUUACCAGGGGAACUGGCCUGAGAUUCACCUCGAGUCCUUUGCAACCUGGUAGAAUGGCUUUGUUGGGAAUGGAGAGCAUCAAGAGCUGACAUGCCUAAGAGCUGCUCUGCUUGGGGCGGGAUCUUUUUAUAAGUGUGGCGUUACCUUUUUCACUUCAUGUCACUGUGGGGAAGAGAUCAACCAAUGGUUCCCUUAGGCUGGAAAAAUAAGGAAUUUACCAACAGGGAUGUUGUGGAGUAACCUCUAAACACAAGUAGUGGUGACAAAGUCUGAACUCUUUUUAAAACACAGAUCAAUAAAUUAAUGAGAUACUAAUGUCAAGGAUCUCUAGUAAUCUUAAUUAGUGUUAAUAGCUUUACAGGAGGUUUUAAGCCUGAUAAGCGUUGAAGACAAUUUCAUUAUAUAGAUCUUGGAUC
ensembl:lncRNA